rfam:Pelodiscus sinensis unplaced genomic scaffold scaffold6317, whole genome shotgun sequence.
GGCACCAUGGCUCAGCUGGCUAAAGUAUGUGCUUCCUAAAUAGGAGAUCCUGGGUUCAACUCCUGGUGGUGCCU